rnacentral:lncRNA from 1 species
AGAGUUGCACAAUAGCAGUACGCUAAACGUUGCCUUGAUAAAAAGGUUUGUCCUGUAUCAAUUGUCCAUUUCUUGGUCCUGCUAGUGAUGCUUUUUAAAAACUGACCUAGCGGACAUCGGAAUAAUAAUUUGAAAAAUAAAUAGUAGGAGAAAAGUUGGGGUAGAUGUUUAUGCCAAUGUAUAUUGCCAAACCAGUGCCAGAUUGGGAGCAGGUUAGAUUUUCUUUUCAUCCGUAAGGCCGAGCGAAAGGUAAACUAGAAUUUGAACUAACAUCUAUACCAUGACAUAGGCG